UAAGGAAUAUUGGACAAUGGAGGCAACUCUGAUCCAGCCAUGCCGCGUGAAGGGAUAAGGCCCUAUGGGUUGUAAACUUCUUUUAGACGGGACAAAACCCCUUUACGUGUAAAGGGUUGAUGGUACUGUCAGAAUAAGCACCGGCUAACUUCGUGCCAGCAGCCGCGGUAAUACGAAGGAUGCAAGCGUUAUCCGGAAUUAUUGGGUUUAAAGGGUGCGUAGGCGGACUAAUAAGUCAGUGGUGAAAGCCUGCAGCUUAACUGCAGAAUUGCCAUUGAUACUGUUAGUCUUGAGUACAGUUGAGGUAGGCGGAAUGUGUCAUGUAGCGGUGAAAUGCUUAGAUAUGACACAGAACACCGAUUGCGAAGGCAGCUUGCUAAGCUGUAACUGACGCUGAGGCACGAAAGCGUGGGGAGCAAAC
rnacentral:rRNA from 1 species